rnacentral:rRNA from 1 species
AUUGAACGCUGGCGGCAUGCUUUACACAUGCAAGUCGAACGGUAACAGGCCGCAAGGUGCUGACGAGUGGCGAACGGGUGAGUAAUGCAUCGGAACGUGCCCAGUCGUGGGGGAUAACUAUCCGAAAGGAUAGCUAAUACCGCAUACGACGUGCGGAUGAAAGCGGGGGACCUUCGGGCCUCGCGCGAUUGGAGCGGCCGAUGUCAGAUUAGGUAGUUGGUGGGGUAAAGGAUCACCAAGCCAACGAUCUGUAGCUGGUCUGGGAGGACGACCAGCCACACUGGGACUGAGACACGGCCCAGACUCCUACGGGAGGCAGCAGUGGGGAAUUUUGGACAAUGGGCGCAAGCCUGAUCCAGCAAUGCCGCGUGCAGGAAGAAGGCCUUCGGGUUGUAAACUGCUUUUGUACGGAACGAAACGGCUCUGGUUAAUACCUGGGGCUAAUGACGGUACCGUAUGAAUAAGCACCGGCUAACUACGUGCCAGCCGCCGCAGUAA